AUGAAGCUGACUUUUAAAAAGAAGGCUGUGAGCUUUGCAGAUGCUGCUGCCGCCCAGAGCCCCCUGCUUCCAGCCAUGGUCAACCCCACCAUGUUUUUCCACAUUGCUGUCGAUGGCGAGCCCUUGGGCUGUGUCUCCUUUGAGGAGCCAUGUGUUCACAUGUCAUGUGGACCAGUAUUUAACUGUGGAAACCGCGGGUGGCAUGGAGAAGGAGGCAGUGUCCGUGACUGUGCCGCUCUCUGCAGCCCCCUGCCUGCUGUCCUGCUUCCUCGGCUCCUCGGUGUCUGGACUGGCGUUCUGGGUUUCCUAGCAGAAAACUAAAGGGCCAGAGAGGUGUAAAAACACACACCACUUGGCAGGUGAUUUGAAGAUAUUAAAGCUAGAAAUUGGAACUAGAAAAUCAAAAGAAUUCAAGGCAUUUUAACGUGACAGUUGAACUCAUUUGAUUAUACUUAAAAAAGUUUAUUGCAGUUAUUGACUCUCAAUUUUUUUUUUUUUUUUUUUUGAGUGCAGUGGUGCCAUUGUUGCUCACUGCAGCCUCAAUCUUCCAGGCUCAAGAAAUCCUCCCACCUCAGCUUCCAAAGUAGCUGGGACUACAGGUGCAUGCCACACCCUGAUAAUUUUUUUUUUCCCAAUAUAAACGAGGUCUUGCUAUGUCCUCCAGUCUGGUCUUGAACUCAAGUGAUCCACCCACCCUGGCCUCCCAAAGUGCUGGGAUUACAGGCGUGAGCCACCAAACCCAGCCACCAAUUUUACUUUAGGUAAACUUUUAUUUUCAAGCUUUUGUUGGUGUUGCAAGUGUAAAUCUCUGUUUUAUAAAAUGUUCUAUAAAUAUAACCACUAUUCCUUGUAAGCUAUUUAAAAUAAAUUUUAAAGCCUUUCAACUAAACACCAAUAUUGUGAUUUUGAUCCUCACUUACGAAGUCCUUAUUUGAGAACCUCCCUACUAAAAUGUAUUUGUUACCCCAAAAUCAUCCCACGCGGUCACUUUCACACAUGCACAGAGCAGCGAAUGAGCCAAGUUGCC
rnacentral:lncRNA from 1 species